GUGCUGGCUUCAGCAGCACAUAUACUAAAAUUGGAAUGAAACAGAGAAGAUUAGCCUGGCUCUUGUGCAAGGAUGACAUGCAAAUUCAUGAAGCGUUCCAUAUUUUG
ensembl:snRNA U6 U6 spliceosomal RNA